rnacentral:misc_RNA from 1 species
GUCAAAUCAAUCAAAAGACAGCGAUCUAAUGCGUCCCUUCAGUUGGAGAAUGACGAACUCAUGUCGGACAUUGAAGUGCUACAGGAAGAAAACAAAAACCUGAAAGAAAUGAUCCGCGCACUAGAAGACGCGAACAAUCCCAAAAACCAAGAUGGCGGCUCAAAUAUGAAUGGCUACAAAAACUUACAGAACAUUGAGAGAAAUAACAACAAACUGCCAGGUAAAACGAACUUUGAACUGCUGAUCAAUGAACAGAGUGAAUCAACGAGCCUGUGAUCUGUGAUUUAUGAGCGUAUUAGAAUGAGAGUGUACCCCUGGGCGUGUUCGAAAUGCAAUACUUGAAAUCAUAAAAACCGAGCGAAUAAUCAUUUUAGGCGCCCAGAGAGCACAACAAAUUGACAAAGUGUAGUGAAAAUCAUGGGCGCUACACUCCAUUAUCAAAUAUUGCAUAGAACAAUACAUCUUGAAGAUUGGACAUGUGAUGUUUGAUCGUUGCAGCAUUAUCCAAGCAUAUGAUCGUUCUCACUACAGCUGCCUUCUCAGAAGUCGCUUAUUGUUCACCGUAGUAGAUAUAGUCCUGUACAUUGGAACAUUGCACAGCCAUGUUAGUUUGUCAUUGUUUGGAUGGCUUUGACGGUUGUUGGUAUCAUUUUAUAACUUGGAUUCUUUCGUUUUGCACUUUUGUAUGAUGAAAUAAAGUUUGAAAAAGUU